rnacentral:rRNA from 1 species
CCCUUAGAUGUCCGGGGCUGCACGCGCGCUACACUGACUGGCUCAGCGUGUGCCUACCCUACGCCGGCAGGCGCGGGUAACCCGUUGAACCCCAUUCGUGAUGGGGAUCGGGGAUUGCAAUUAUUCCCCAUGAACGAGGAAUUCCCAGUAAGUGCGGGUCAUAAGCUUGCGUUGAUUAAGUCCCUGCCCUUUGUACACACCGCCCGUCGCUACUACCGAUUGGAUGGUUUAGUGAGGCCCUCGGAUCGGCCCCGCCGGGGUCGGCCCACGGCCCUGGCGGAGCGCUGAGAAGACGGUCGAACUUGAUCGUUUAGAGGAAGUAAAAGUCGUAACA